rnacentral:rRNA from 1 species
GCGUGUGUGAAGAAGGCUUCGGGUUGUAAAGCACUUUCAGUCAGGAGGAAAGGGUSUGAGUUAAUACCUCAUAUCYGUGACGUCUACUGACAGAAGAAGCACCGGCUAACUCCGUGCCAGCAGCCGCGGUAAUACGGMKGGUGCGAGCGUURAUCGGAAUUACUGGGCGUAAAGCGUACGCAGGCGGUUUGUUAAGCGAGAUGUSAAASCCCCGGGCUCAACCUGGGAACUGCAUUUCGAACUGGCAAACUAGCASUGUGAUAGAKKKWDRUAGAAUUUCAKKUUGUAGMKKCUSAAAUGCGUAKAGAUCUGAAGGAAUACCGAAUGGUCGAAGGCAGCCACCUGGGUUCACRACACUSACGCAUCAUGUACGAAAGUCGUGGGGAGCAAACGGGAUUAGAUACCCUGGUAGUCCACGCCGUAAACGAUGUCUACUAGAAGCUCGGAAGCUUGGUUCUGUUUUUCAAGAUAACGCAUUAAGUAGA